rnacentral:sRNA from 1 species
CUCCAGCCUUGGGUUCCCGCCCGGGCCUCGCCGCGCGCCUUCCGCUCUCCACGGGGCCUGCUGCCCGCCACCCGCUACCCAGGGCUUCCUGCCGGCCGCCAGCGCCACCUGACCCUCCGACGAGAGCCCAGCACUGCCCAACCCAGGCCUUCUGUAGGGUCCCCUCCUCUCCACGUAUGGCCCCAUUAUCCCCACGUGGUCCCCCUCCUCCCCAUGGCUGCCCCAUGCCCAUGUAGGGUCCCCGUUUUCCUUGCGUGGGUUCUUCGUCCUCCCCAUGUGGGGUCCCGGUCCUCUCCAGGCUUCUGGAAGGCCGGUGAGCUGGAGACAAGCAUGGUCAGGGAGCCCCGGGAAGGCUGAGCAACGGCAGGAAAGGGACGGGCUCAGCGCAUUUCUGGGAAGUAAAGUGGCGGGAUCCCGAGGCAGCAGGAGUCCUGGCACCCAGGACCACAGUUUGAGAGGCCUGGCGCAAAAUGAAAAUGCAGGGCUCCUGCUCAGCAGUAACUCAGACGUCAAGAUGGCGACAGCAGAGCUUCCAGCCAAGCCCGGAGCCCCGCCAGGUGCAGGCCGCACACCCGCGAACCCGCCCUGCUGCAUCUGCGAGUGGGGCGCCCAGGGAGGCGAGGGGCUCUGGGGGCUGCCUGGAGAGGCCUGACCCCUUCCUUUCCCGGAGGCCGCUCCCGAGCUGUGCCAAACCCGGGCUGCCGCGGCGCUGCCACCUGCUGGCCACCUCGGGCCCCUGCCGCGUCCCUCGGAGAGAAGGACCUUGUGUGGAGUGGGCAAGCGGCUUGGUGGCCCGGACCUCACCUUCACAGAAGAGAAGCCAGCCGGGGAGGGAGUUCACAUCGGCUACAGCACCCCAGUGACGGUGGCAGCACGUUACUGUCGCUCUUGAACUGUCCUGUGCCUUACAUCAGCAAGGUAGAGAUGAUGACCCCCCACUACAGGCAGGUAAAAAUCAAGGUGACCCCAAGAAAAUGGCUCCUCCUCCAAAGGAGGUAGAAGAAGAUAGUGAAGAUGAGGAAAUGUCAGAAGAUGAAGAAGAUGAUAGCAGUGGAGAAGAGGUCGUCAUACCUCAGAAGAAAGGCAAGAAGGCUGCUGCAACCUCAGCAAAGAAGGUGGUAGUUUCCCCAACAAAAAAGGUUGCAGUUGCCACACCAGCCAAGAAAGCAGCUGUCACUCCAGGCAAAAAGGCAGCAGCAACACCUGCCAAGAAGACAGUUACACCAGCCAAAGCAGUUACCACACCUGGCAAGAAGGGAGCCACACCAGGCAAAGCAUUGGUAGCAACUCCUGGUAAGAAGGGUGCUGCCAUCCCAGCCAAGGGGGCAAAGAAUGGCAAGAAUGCCAAGAAGGAAGACAGUGAUGAAGAGGAGGAGGAUGACAGUGAGGAGGAUGAGGAGGAUGACGAGGACGAGGAUGAGGAUGAAGAUGAAAUUGAACCAGCAGCGAUGAAAGCAGCAGCUGCUGCCCCUGUCUCAGAGGAUGAGGACGAUGAGGAUGACGAAGAUGAUGAGGAUGACGAUGACGAUGAGGAAGAUGACUCUGAAGAAGAAGCUAUGGAGACUACACCAGCCAAAGGAAAGAAAGCUGCAAAAGUUGUUCCUGUGAAAGCCAAGAACGUGGCUGAGGAUGAAGAUGAAGAAGAGGAUGAGGACGAGGAUGACGACGACGACGAAGAUGAUGAUGAAGAUGAUGAUGAUGAAGAUGAUGAGGAGGAGGAAGAAGAGGAGGAGGAAGAGCCUGUCAAAGAAGCACCUGGAAAACGAAAGAAGGAAAUGGCCAAACAGAAAGCAGCUCCUGAAGCCAAGAAACAGAAAGUGGAAGGCACAGAACCGACUACGGCUUUCAAUCUCUUUGUUGGAAACCUAAACUUUAACAAAUCUGCUCCUGAAUUAAAAACUGGUAUCAGCGAUGUUUUUGCUAAAAAUGAUCUUGCUGUUGUGGAUGUCAGAAUUGGUAUGACUAGGAAAUUUGGUUAUGUGGAUUUUGAAUCUGCUGAAGACCUGGAGAAAGCGUUGGAACUCACUGGUUUGAAAGUCUUUGGCAAUGAAAUUAAACUAGAGAAACCAAAAGGAAAAGACAGUAAGAAAGGUAUGUAAGGCUUUAUGAGAUUAUGCAAUGAACUCAGGAGCUAGACUGCUAGGGAAAAUGCUUUGUAACCCAUUUCCCUUGGUUUCCUCUUAUUUUUUUAAAUCAUUUUUUCCCUUUGGUUUCCUCUUAAUGUGGGAAUUAAAUGAGCUACAGUGUUUACAAGAGUACUUGGCACUGCUUGUCAGUGUUAUAGUGUAAAUUCCUGAGUUAGGCAAGCGAGCACUUUUAUACAGAACAAGAAUUAUUAGAUGCCCCUAAAUUAACGUAAAGGGAUCUUUCUUCACUGAAACUAGAUAAGGUCCCUAAUUACUCUCUAUAUACAGUUGUAAUGUUUUGAAUUGGUACAUUCACUUUUUUUGUUAUGCGCGUCUACUCUAGGUUGAACUCCAGUGUACCUAACAGAUAGUUUGACAUCAGCUGUGACAACAUGGAGGGACCACUUGUGUGUUGACACUGCUAUAUCUCCAUAUUUAGCACCGAGCCUUGUACAUUAUAGGAUCUCAAUUAUUUGUUGAAUAGAGCUAUGUGUGUUUUUCCCGUCUUUUUGUUGUUGCCCCCCACCUUUGGUUUUUCAGGCCACAGAGCUCAUUUUUGUUUUUUUAAUCUAGAGCGAGAUGCGAGAACACUUUUGGCUAAAAAUCUCCCUUACAAAGUCACUCAGGAUGAAUUGAAAGAAGUGUUUGAAGAUGCUGCAGAGAUCAGAUUAGUCAGCAAGGAUGGGAAAAGUAAAGGGAUUGCUUAUAUUGAAUUUAAGACAGAAGCUGAUGCAGAGAAAACCUUUGAAGAAAAGCAGGGAACAGAGAUCGAUGGGCGAUCUAUUUCCCUGUACUAUACUGGAGAGAAAGGUCAAAAUCAAGACUAUAGAGGUGGAAAGAAUAGCACUUGGAGUGGUGAAUCAAAAACUCUGGUUUUAAGCAACCUCUCCUACAGUGCAACAGAAGAAACUCUUCAGGAAGUAUUUGAGAAAGCAACUUUUAUCAAAGUACCCCAGAACCAAAAUGGCAAAUCUAAAGGGUAUGCAUUUAUAGAGUUUGCUUCAUUCGAAGACGCUAAAGAAGCUUUAAAUUCCUGUAAUAAAAGGGAAAUUGAGGGCAGAGCAAUCAGGCUGGAGUUGCAAGGACCCAGGGGAUCCCCUAAUGCCAGAAGCCAGCCAUCCAAAACUCUGUUUGUCAAAGGCCUGUCUGAGGAUACCACUGAAGAGACAUUAAAGGAGUCAUUUGACGGCUCCGUUCGGGCAAGGAUAGUUACUGACCGGGAAACUGGGUCCUCCAAAGGGUUUGGUUUUGUAGACUUCAACAGUGAGGAGGAUGCCAAAGCUGCCAAGGAGGCCAUGGAAGACGGUGAAAUUGAUGGAAAUAAAGUUACCUUGGACUGGGCCAAACCUAAGGGUGAAGGUGGCUUCGGGGGUCGUGGUGGAGGCAGAGGCGGCUUUGGAGGACGAGGUGGUGGUAGAGGAGGCCGAGGAGGAUUUGGUGGCAGAGGCCGGGGAGGCUUUGGAGGGCGAGGCGGCUUCCGAGGAGGCAGAGGAGGAGGAGGUGACCACAAGCCACAAGGAAAGAAGACGAAGUUUGAAUAGCUUCUGUCCCUCUGCUUUCCCUUUUCCAUUUGAAAGAAAGGACUCUGGGGUUUUUACUGUUACCUGAUCAAUGACAGAGCCUUCUGAGGACAUUCCAAGACAGUAUACAGUCCUGUGGUCUCCUUGGAAAUCCGUCUAGUUAACAUUUCAAGGGCAAUACCGUGUUGGUUUUGACUGGAUAUUCAUAUAAACUUUUUAAAGAGUUGAGUGAUAGAGCUAACCCUUAUCUGUAAGUUUUGAAUUUAUAUUGUUUCAUCCCAUGUACAAAACCAUUUUUUCCUAC